GAUGAACGCUGGCGGCGUGCCUAAUACAUGCAAGUCGAGCGAACAGACGAGGAGUUUGCUCCUCUGACGUUAGCGGCGGACGGGUGAGUAACACGUGGAUAACCUACCUAUAAGACUGGGAUAACUUCGGGAAACCGGAGCUAAUACCGGAUAAUAUAUUGAACCGCAUGGUUCAAUAGUGAAAGACGGUUUUGCUGUCACUUAUAGAUGGAUCCGCGCCGCAUUAGCUAGUUGGUAAGGUAACGGCUUACCAAGGCGACGAUGCGUAGCCGACCUGAGAGGGUGAUCGGCCACACUGGAACUGGGACACGGUCCAGACUCCUAAGGGAUGCAGCAGUAGGGAAUCUUCCGCAAUGGGCGAAAGCCUGACGGAGCAACGCCGCGUGAGUGAUGAAGGUCUUCGGAUCGUAAAACUCUGUUAUUAGGGAAGAACAAAUGUGUAAGUAACUAUGCACGUCUUGACGGUACCUAAUCAGAAAGCCACGGCUAACUACGUG
rnacentral:rRNA from 1 species